AAAGCGGCUCCGGGAGAGGAAAACUGGGAAUGAAGGAUUCCCGGAAUUCCGACGGGAAAUCUCCGACCGGAUCCGACACCUCCAGGGGCUGAUCCAGGAGCAGCAACAUUCCCUGCGGGAAUCCAUCCGGGAGGCGGAAGAGCUGAAUUCCCGACUCCGCCUCCAGGACGGACGGAUCCGGGAAUUGUCGGGAAAACUGGAAGCUCUGGAAUUCCAGAACCGUGACCUGAAGGAAAAACUGGAAUUCUGGACCGGAAAAACCCCUCGGAAAACUUCCCGCGCCAUCGGCACCGAGUGAGACCCUCGGGAAUUCCGG